rnacentral:rRNA from 1 species
UAGGGAAUCUUCGGCAAUGGACGAAAGUCUGACCGAGCAACGCCGCGUGAGUGAAGAAGGUUUUCGGAUCGUAAAACUCUGUUGUUAGAGAAGAACAAGGACGUUAGUAACUGAACGUCCCCUGACGGUAUCUAACCAGAAAGCCACGGCUAACUACGUGCCAGCAGCCGCGUUAAUACGUAGGUGGCAAGCGUUGUCCGGAUUUAUUGGGCGUAAAGCGAGCGCAGGCGGUUUCUUAAGUCUGAUGUGAAAGCCCCCGGCUCAACCGGGGAGAGUCAUUGGAAACUGGGAGACUUGAGUGCAGAAGAGGGGAGUGGAAUUCCAUGUGUAGCGGUGAAAUGCGUAGAUAUAUGGGGGAAAACCAGUGGCGAAGGCGGCUCUCUGGUCUGUAACUGACGCUGAGGCUCGAAAGCGUGGGGGGCAAACAGG